GCGGUGGUAAUUCAGUGGUAGAAUGCUUCCUUCCCAAGGAAGAUGUCGGGGGUUCAAGUCCCCUCCACCGCU
rnacentral:tRNA from 1 species